UCUGCAGUGGAAUGGGUACUUAUUAUCCAGCGAUCACUCUUUUUUCCACCUUGAAGCAUUUCUCACUUGGAGUUGCUAUGGCCUCACAAGACCUCCCUAUGAAUGUAUCUCAGGCAGGUUUCUCUAACCUAGGUCCAGAACUACUGUAAAGCACCUAAUUACCAGGAAAGCUAAGCGCCCCAAUUCCCUUCUCAACCCCUGGCUAUGUUAAUGGCGUGCUAGCAUUUUACACCCACUGAAAGUCUGGCCCUUCAAGCGCCACUGAGUUCAGAACUAUGGCAACAGCCUGUGACAGAUCCUAGACUUCAUUUUCUCCAUUUACAAGUCAAAAUGCCACACAAGCAGCAAUUAAUGCUUGAAAGAUCAGUUCCACUUGUCCUAACACAAAUACAAUAUAUUGACUUUACAAGGUUGCUUGCUACUGAAAACAAGAAAAGAAAACUAAUGUCUUUGUCCAGACACUAAGCUACCCCUUCAGUGUAUGUUCUCAAGCAAGUUCUAGCUCCUAAACCUCAGUAAAGCUAAGGUUUGUGAGCAAUUGUAAGCAGCAGCUGAUACUAAAAGACAAGCUCCCCCAGAGAAAUUGUCCAUGUGGCAUAUUUGUACCAACCAGUAUCAUCGCUGUCUUCAAAGUCUUGCUCAGGGAUCGGGAAGUCAUCCUUCAUUCUUGGGAAGUUCACUAAAACAACAAAAUGGGAAGAACUGUUUGUUUAAAGAGGCCUUUUAGAGGCAUUAUUGCCACCAGUCACUGGACUAUGUGACUGAAGAAAACGAUAGCUUAACUACUGCAAGGUUCUUCCUCUUUCUCUGUUGGCCAAACUCAACAAACACACAUGCACUGAAGAAAACAGGAUCCUCCCACUACAUCAUAUUUCACAACCACCAGAUGACCAGCUUUUAAGAAGAAAAAGGUAGAAUGAAAAGCAAAGAAACCGGAUAAUCUGAAUAGCGCUAAAAUAUUGUCGUUGGUGUCUACAUAAUGGCUAUAAUUCACUGUUAACACGCUCAAGAGUAUUAUCCUUAUAACUCUGAAUAGGAUUGUACUGCCUAUCAUUACUUACCACUAAUGUUAGACUCAUUCAGCCCACUCUACUUUUCAUCUUUCCGCAUGCAUCUUAAAGGACUCAGAGCUCCCAUGAGCCAGUUUCUCUCUGGGUUUCAUAUAAAUCCAUAAUAAUUUAAGGAAGUCAUAUAUCAUCAUAAUAUGUUUUAAUGCAAAAGCUGGUUGAAGGCAAAUGGGUGUCCAUAUCCAGGCAUUUAUGUUAACAUCCCUCUGAUCCAAAUUCCUUUUAGCAAUGCCAUUUCUUUCUAUUGUUCAGCACAGAUUAAGCACUAGUAACCAAAUGCAGAGGAUGUAAUAUGAGCAGAAGGGUGGUGGUUUUUUGUUUUCUUGUGUGUGUGUGUGUGUGUGUGUGUGUGUGUGUGUGUGUGUGUGUGUGUGUGUGUGUGUGUGUGUGUGUGUGUGUGUGUGUGUGUAGUCGUCUUAGCAUUAUCUCUAUGUAUAGUAACCGCAUUUCAUUUUCAGUUUUCCUAAAGAAAAUACCCCUUCAUUUUGAUCUGCUUAGAUUUCUCAAAGCUGGCUAUAACUCAGGGGUUCAGCAGAGACAAGACCUUCAGCAGAUCAGGAAUGCCAAAAAUCAGGGACUAGAAAGCAGUAGGAUUCACAUCCUUGAAAUAGUUGUGGUUGAAAACCAAGGAUAUUUUAUGUUUUGCACAGAAACAGCAAGAACAAUUUUAUGAGGUUAUUUAAAAAAAAAACAAGACCAAAGAAUAUAACUUGUGCCUAAAAGCCCAAUGUGUGAUGAAAUUAUUUGAAAGCAUGUAGAAGAUUAUUUGCACAUAUUGCACAGAGGUCUAGGACUGGAAAAGGUGUCCUGAAUCAUCAACUCCAUUUUCUGCUAUCACAGAGAAUGGUGUGGGGCAGCCCCUGCCAGCAAUAUUGCAAGGUUCACCGAGAGCAGAGCAGCUCUGCUGAGAGCCGUGCUGCCCAAAUCCCCCUUGCUGUCAGGAACCUUGGUGGUCAUCCUGUUUCCAAUUCAACUUGACAGCAUCUCAUGCUGGAGGGGAAACACGCACCGCACCCACUGAGCCACAUACUAUUUAACUCAUGUCUCAAGAGUUCCCUGCCCUGGAAGUCUGAUACCUUAACUUGUGUUGGUACAACUCUAGAAGCCGUGGCAAGCAGCAGCACCCAGGGCACGUGAGGGGCUCCCCACUGGAGACUGACAGCAGAAAUCCCAUGCGCUGGGAGCUUCCAUACUUGCAGAGUUGUCUCGAGCCCACCUCACUCAAAGAAUUAAGGAAUUUCUUUGAAUUUUCCAGAUAACCUGGCAACAGAACACGCACAGCACAACAGCUGCCCUUCCAGACGUUGAGCUGCACAUCAUGCGAGUCAUGGAAUUAAGGCAACCCUAGGCUGCUGCACUUCUAGAGCUGACAGCCCCAGACGGCAACAUCUCAGGGAUGGGAGAACUGCCUGAGGGCCUCUUGCAAACAUUUAGAGCUGAACAUGUGGAAAAUAACUUGCAAAGCAGAACACACACAAAGCCGUCUGCUCUCUGGUCCUCAGCCGGAGGACAAGCUGUGACGUCCUGCCGUCCCGCUGUCACCCGCACAACCCGUGGGACUGCAGGUUGUGUGAAUGAAAUGAGAUGGAAGCGGGGCCAUGGGCUGCCAGGGGAGCCAUGUGCAGGGGAGCAGUGUUGGAAGCCUUUUGCCCUUCUGUAUUCCAGCUCCCCUACAUUUUGUCUGAGAAUGCGUUAGCAAUUUGGUGCUCUUUUAUUUCCCAGGGUAGUGUUGAGGGAAAGGCCAGAAAAAAUAAAGUAUCAGUUAAUCAACGCUUUCAAAAGAAUACUGAUUCUUCAAGCCUGAAAGAAAGGAGCACUGGGAAAACUUGAAAAAAGAGAAUGCUUAUACAAAAAGCCAGCCCUGAAUCUAUUUGCUCUCCCUGCAAUUUUCUCAAUUCCCUCUGCUAAUAUGACUCCAAUUUCUGCUUAAAAGACAUCUUCCCCCUCACCGUUCCUCCCUUCUCCUCAGGCUGGUGGCAGAGCCUCGUCCUGCGCUCUGCACGCUGCAAUACUGCUAUUGGAUGGCAGUUGUGUCACGCAGGGCUCUACAUUGGCCCUGGAGCAACUCGGCCAGUCUUUUUCCAUGCUGGGGUUUCUGGAGUCAUUAACAAAAUCAGAUCUGGCUGCGGGACUGUCUGGGAAUUGGAGCCGCUGGUUGCAGCACCAAUCCUAUUGGAGAUGAUUUCCUGUCACAGAAAACAGCCUGCUAUUUGUCAUUAAUUAGGAUCCUUUGUGACAAAUCUCAGCCAUAUUGUCACAAGGGGAGCAGACCGUGAAAGCUGAUUCCCCAGCGCGCAGUCCCUAGGAAAGCCCAGCAAGAUACAGGGCAGAACAGGAUAAGCACGUAUUGCCCCAUGCUGGGGAGGGCAUCCUUCCUAAAAGGCAACUUCCAGGCAUGAUCUACUCUGCUUUUAAAUGUAGAGAGACAAGUAAAAUGAAAAAAGUACGCUGGAGAAAGGUAGGUGAGAUUGCAAAGGGUACCAGUGUGUAGCCACGAGGAGGGGUUUCUCCUCAGCAAAAGGCAGGAGCUGGACAGGGCUGAGCAUCCAGCCCUUUGUGCUGAAAAGCUGAUGUUAGCGACGUUGCUGCAAGCGGCCAGAUGCCAAGAAAAGGACACUAUCUGUUGGAUCUGAGAGCACCAUCAGCUAAAAGGCUAAUUUAUGGGGCCCGAAAAUGGAAGAUGAGACUCUAAUCAAAGACAAGGAGCAUCUUAAGUACCAUGCUGCCAUAAGCUUGCAUGUGAGGAGAGCGGGAAAGAAUCAGCGUUUGCAGAGAUUAAGGCCCUUUACCGCACAUCCCUGAACAUGGCAACAGCAGUGUGGGUCAGGCAAGGCCAAGGAGCUCCGCACAUUGGGCAAGGCUGCAGCAUCCCAGUGCCACGCACAUACUGCAUGCAUGAUCCCUAAACCCUGUGCCAGCUCUUCUUCUUCUGCUGUUUCCUUCUUGAUUGAUUUUUGUCUGAUUUAACCCCAGGCACUGAGUGCUGCCUCCUGCAGGGUUCCCGCAUCCUCAGACAGAGCUCUCCCUGUCACCAUGCAGCCAGAAAAAGCACUGCUGCCAGCCCAGGCAGAGACUUGAGCCUCAGCCGCACUCUGCUCUUUCUGCUCACUUCCAGCCCCUUUCUCUCCGCAGCCACAGUGUGGUUCCAACUCACGUCACUUUGCUUUGACACAGCAAAGCAGCCACUGGGGCAUUGCCUCGACACAGCCGUGUCUCGGUGCUGCUGCAGGCUGGGCAGGCAGUGCUGCUAAGCGGGAACGUGUGUCUGGUUGGACGAAACCCGCUCUUUGGAUCCCAUCUGCUCCACCUCCAGCUGAAAAUCUGCCUCACUUCUCUCACCCCACCCCUCCAGGAACACAGAACGUUUUUAGUUUACAAAACUCUCUGCCAAAUUCCAAAUUGAAAGAGUGCUUUGGCUAGAGAUCAGCAUUAAAGAAAGCAAACAAGAAACCUCUCCGCUGGCCCUGCAUCCCUCUGCAGUGCGGGAAAUGCUGGACCUUAUCCUCAGUGCCUCAUCUUGGGGUACUGAGAUGCCCUGUAGGCACCUCAUGCUCAGAGGAGAUGGCAAAGCAUGGUGGGGCAAAGACCACGCUGACAGCUGCUGUCAUGAAGCCGGACUGUGUCCUUGCUGUGGAAGCAGCUUUCAGCCCAUCCCACACAGCAACAAACACAGCUCACCUUGCAGACUGGGGGGCAGCUCUGGGUUCCAAGCCCAGACCCCUGCGUGCCUGAAGCUGCCUGUCAAGGAAAUUGCACCCCAAGCGCAUUCAACUUGCAUGUAUUUUUCUAAACAAAGCGGGCUAAUUUUAGCUGCUUUUCUUCCUGCGCUGUGCUGCAGUCUGAGCAGCACCCAGCUCCCCGGUCAAUCUGGCUGUGGUGUACAGAAGGAAUAAUUAAACCCUGAACGAUUCCUC